rnacentral:rRNA from 1 species
UACAGAGGUCCCAAGCGUUGUUCGGAUUCAUUGGGCGUAAAGGGUGCGUAGGCGGCGCGGGAAGUCGGGUGUGAAAGCCCCGGGCUCAACCUGGGAAUGCCAUUCGAGACUGCAUAGCUAGGGUGCGGAAGAGGGAAGCGGAAUUUCCGGUGUAGCGGUGAAAUGCGUAGAUAUCGGAAGGAACACCAGUGGCGAAAGCGGCUUCCUGGUCCAGCACCGACGUUCAGGCACGAAAGCGUGGGGAGCAAACAGG